rnacentral:rRNA from 1 species
GGUUAAGCGACUAAGCGUACACGGUGGAUGCCCUGGCAGUCAGAGGCGAUGAAGGACGUGCUAAUCUGCGAAAAGCGUCGGUAAGGUGAUAUGAACCGUUAUAGCCGGCGAUGUCCGAAUGGGGAAACCCAGUGUGAUUCGUCACACUAUCGUUAACUGAAUACAUAGGUUAACGAGGCGAACCGGGGGAACUGAAACAUCUAAGUACCCCGAGGAAAAGAAAUCAACCGAGAUUCCCCCAGUAGCGGCGAGCGAACGGGGAGCAGCCCAGAGUCUGAAUCAGCUUGUGUGUUAGUGGAACGGUCUGGAAAGUCCGACGGUACAGGGUGAUAGUCCCGUACACCAAAAUGCACAGGUUGUGAACUCGAAGAGUAGGGCGGGACACGUGGUAUCCUGUCUGAAUAUGGGGGGACCAUCCUCCAAGGCUAAAUACUCCUGACUGACCGAUAGUGAACCAGUACCGUGAGGGAAAGGCGAAAAGAACCCCGGCGAGGGGAGUGAAAAAGAACCUGAAACCGUGUACGUACAAGCAGUGGGAGCACCUUCGGGUGUGACUGCGUACCUUUUGUAUAAUGGGUCAGCGACUUAUAUUCUGUAGCAAGGUUAACCGUAUAGGGGAGCCGCAGGGAAACCGAGUCUUAACUGGGCGUUAAGUUGCAGGGUAUAGACCCGAAACCCGGUGAUCUAGCCAUGGGCAGGUUGAAGGUUGGGUAACACUAACUGGAGGACCGAACCGACUAAUGUUGAAAAAUUAGCGGAUGACUUGUGGCUGGGGGUGAAAGGCCAAUCAAACCGGGAGAUAGCUGGUUCUCCCCGAAAGCUAUUUAGGUAGCGCCUCGUGAACUCAUCUUCGGGGGUAGAGCACUGUUUCGGCUAGGGGGUCAUCCCGACUUACCAACCCGAUGCAAACUACGAAUACCGAAGAAUGUUAUCACGGGAGACACACGGCGGGUGCUAACGUCCGUCGUGAAGAGGGAAACAACCCAGACCGCCAGCUAAGGUCCCAAAGUCAUGGUUAAGUGGGAAACGAUGUGGGAAGGCACAGACAGCCAGGAUGUUGGCUUAGAAGCAGCCAUCAUUUAAAGAAAGCGUAAUAGCUCACUGGUCGAGUCGGCCUGCGCGGAAGAUGUAACGGGGCUAAACCAUG